rnacentral:lncRNA from 1 species
UGCUAUAUAAUACAUAUGGCGGCCGCAGCAGAGUAACUUUAAAAUAUAUAGUUAUUAUUGCCAGCCACCCAAGCAAAUGAAUCCAGAUAGUAGUGGUAGUAGUAGUAGUAGUAGUAGUACCUAUACCUCUGUUUUGUCAUCUUCACAGAGCAGGGUAUGUAUGCAUUUUGUAUGUAUGUAUGAACUAGGUGAUGAUAACAACCUCAUCUAUUAUCAAGCGGAGACCAUGCACAGGGCUGCUCGGAGAUGUGCACACGUACAUAUGUAUAUAUGUGGUGCAGACACGUAUGCUGUACCUUAUGUACGUUGAUGAUACGGCACACGUGCACACUCUGUCGUACACAAGGAUAUUAUAUACCUAGAGAACAUACAUAUGUGGAGGGAGGGACAGGCACAGGGAGACGAUGGCGAUGGGGACAGCAGAUACAGAUACAGACGGCGAGACUGAGCGGAUGACUGUCGAGGGAGACUGUGGGAGAGUUUUUAUUAAAUUCUUAGACUGUGGGUGUGUGUAUGUAUGUAUGUAUGUAUGUAUGUAUGUAUAUCCGCGCACUGCACUUGCGAUGUAUGUUGUUGGUCUGUCUGUUGGGUUGUUGUUGUACAUGUCGUACUGUACGUGAUACUACUUUAUAAUUAGUAGUAGUACACAUACGCAGCAGCAUAUGAUGGCUCCGCGGGUAUGUGGAUAUUAUGGGACACGCGCAUGCACGACGGUGUGGCGAUGAUGCACCCACGUAGUAGUUGUACAUAUUGUUGUUGUUGUUGUUGUUGUUGUUGUUGUGUAUGCUCCCUUUUCCCUUCUCGUCGGACACACGAUCUCUCUCUAUAUGCAUAUCUACACCAACACAAUCAAACAAUGCUGCUGUAUCUACUUGGCACGAUUUGGCACAUAUGUAAAGUAUAAUAAUAAUAACCCUAACGGUAUAUAUACCAACAACAAUCUCGCCG